GACGGGGAUGCAAGUGUUAUCCGGAAUCACUGGGCGUAAAGCGUCUGCAGGUGGUUUCCUAAGUCCACUGUUAAACCUUGAGGCUCAACCUCAAAUCUGCAUUGGAAACUAGGAGACUUGAGUAUAGUAGGGGUAGAGGGAAUUUCCAGUGGAGCGGUGAAAUGCGUAGAUAUUGGAAAGAACACCGAUGGCGAAGGCACUCUACUGGGCUAUUACUGACACUCAGAGACGAAAGCUAGGGGAGCAAAUGGG
rnacentral:rRNA from 1 species